CUUGAUUAUCAGCAAUGUAGGUUUCUAUUCUGUGUGCUUCUUAUUGGAGAAGAUUUAACUCUAGAAGUUCUUGGUCCACAGAGCUCAGCUCUAGCUAACCUGAGAGAGUGGGACGAAAAAGAAGGAGAUGGGGACAGAGAAUAUGCAGCGCACAUGUACAGUGUCCCCAGUUGAGGACAACUGGGGAACAGAAGGAGAA